rnacentral:rRNA from 1 species
CCAAAAGCUGGCGACCGGCGCACGGGUGAGUAACACGUAUCCAACCUGCCUCAUACUCGGGGAUAGCCUUUCGAAAGAAAGAUUAAUAUCCGAUAGCAUAUAUUUCCCGCAUGGGUUUUAUAUUAAAGAAAUUCGGUAUGAGAUGGGGAUGCGUCCCAUUAGUUUGUUGGGGGGUAACGGCCCACCAAGACUACGAUGGAUAGGGGUUCUGAGAGGAAGGUCCCCCACAUUGGAACUGAGACACGGUCCAA